rnacentral:rRNA from 1 species
GACGAACGCUGGCGGCGUGCUUAACACAUGCAAGUCGAGCGGUAAGGCCCUUUCGGGGGUACGACGAGCGGCGAACGGGUGAGUAACACGUGGGUGACCUGCCCUCAGCUCUGGGAUAAGCCCGGGAAACUGGGUCUAAUACCGGAUAUGACUUCAUGACGCAUGUUGUGGAGUGGAAAGCCUCGUGCGGCUGAGGAUGGGCCCGCGGCCUAUCAGCUUGUUGGUGGGGGUGA